AUAGAAUCAUGAACCAAGCCCGAGUUUCAUUACUAUGUAAAGUGUUUGUUUGGUUCGAAAGCUAGUGGGAGGAUAAUUUAUUUAUUUUUGAUGAUCCUGGAUGUUCGGGCCAACUUACGCGCACCACAACUAAUCUCAAGGCUUACUGAACAUCCUGCAAGCCCAGUAUGCAGGUAAGGCACCGCAGGGGUAACAGACUGAUACUCUUGAGGAUCGAACCCAGAACCUUCACAAAAGCAAGCCUUGCAGUUGACCAAUGGGCUAGAC
rnacentral:lncRNA from 1 species